rnacentral:rRNA from 1 species
AACGAACGCUGGCGGCAGGCUUAACACAUGCAAGUCGAGCGCCCCGCAGGGGGAGCGGCAGACGGGUGAGUAACGCGUGGGAACGUACCUUUUGCUACGGAAUAGCUCUGGGAAACUGGAAUUAAUACCGUAUGUGCCCUUCGGGGGAAAGAUUUAUCGGCAAAAGAUCGGCCCGCGUUGGAUUAGCUAGUUGGUGGGGUAAAGGCCUACCAAGGCGACGAUCCAUAGCUGGUCUGAGAGGAUGAUCAGCCACAUUGGGACUGAGACACGGCCUAAACUCCUACGGGAGGCAGCAGUGGGGAAUAUUGGACAAUGGGCGCAAGCCUGAUCCAGCCAUGCCGCGUGAGUGAUAAAGGUCUUAGGAUUGUAAAGCUCUUUCAACGGUGAAGAUAAUGACGGUAACCGUAGAAGAAGCCCCGGCUAACUUCGUGCCAGCCGCCGCCGUAACAC